GCUGGCUUGACACUUCCCAUCUUCCAUACAUGCAAGGACAGUUGGAGUCUGUAGUGACACCUCCCAAACCUCACUGAGACAGCAAUAUGUGAACUGGAGACAUCUGUACCACAGAAACCUCUGUGGAUAACGUCAGGUGGGACAUGAGGAGCAGCUUCGGGGAAAACAUCCCCGUGUGGUGCCUCAGCUCCAGAGAGGGACUAGUGAAAGAAUACAGGGACCACUCAUCAGCUCUGUGUCACUGAAUACUGGCUUGCGUUUCCUGAAAUUUUAUACAAAUGGAGUUAUGCCACACAGCAGGCGAUGUUGGAUUGCCAAGCCUCCAAAGAUGAGGAGCAAGGAACUGCUACUUUCCUCACGUUCACACAACCUGACUCUGAGAUACACUGGUCAGAAAGCAGUGGUGGCAUUGUCUGAUGAGGUACUGGUUGCUCCAGGACAUGCUGCCUUGCUGUUAGCUCAGCUAGUGGCUGUGUUCCAGGCAUGAAUGUUUCUGGUGUCUCACUCUUGGCACACCUUCCCUACAGACGUGUGCAUGUUCGCAGAGCAAGCUUUGAGAAGACUUGUCUUAUCCCCACAAUUAAAAUAA